UACGGAGGGUGCGAGCGUUAAUCGGAAUGACUGGGCGUAAAGCGAGCGCAGGCGGUCUGAUCAGUCGGAUGUGAAAGCCCCGGGCUUAACCUGGGAAUUGCAUUCGAUACUGUCAGACUAGAGUAUGGGAGAGGGAAGUGGAAUUUCUAGUGUAGCGGUGAAAUGCGUAGAUAUUAGAAGGAACACCAGUGGCGAAGGCGGCUUCCUGGCCCAAUACUGACGCUCAGGCUCGAAAGCGUGGGGAGCGAAC
rnacentral:rRNA from 1 species